CCGAUCGGAGGAAAAGAAACCAACCGGGAUUGCCUUAGUAACGGCGAGUGAAGCGGCAAAAGCUCAAAUUUGAAAUCUGGUACCUUCGGUGCCCGAGUUGUAAUUUGGAGAGGGCAACUUUGGGGCCGUUCCUUGUCUAUGUUCCUUGGAACAGGACGUCAUAGAGGGUGAGAAUCCCGUGUGGCGAGGAGUGCGGUUCUUUGUAAAGUGCCUUCGAAGAGUCGAGUUGUUUGGGAAUGCAGCUCUAAGUGGGUGGUAAAUUCCAUCUAAAGCUAAAUAUUGGCGAGAGACCGAUAGCGAACAAGUACAGUGAUGGAAAGAUGAAAAGAACUUUGAAAAGAGAGUGAAAAAGUACGUGAAAUUGUUGAAAGGGAAGGGCAUUUGAUCAGACAUGGUGUUUUGUGCCCUCUGCUCCUUGUGGGUAGGGGAAUCUCGCAUUUCACUGGGCCAGCAUCAGUUUUGGUGGCAGGAUAAAUCCAUAGGAAUGUAGCUUGCCUCGGUAAGUAUUAUAGCCUGUGGGAAUACUGCCAGCUGGGACUGAGGACUGCGACGUAAGUCAAGGAUGCUGCAAAUCGAAUG
rnacentral:rRNA from 1 species